rnacentral:rRNA from 1 species
UACGAAGGGGGCUAGCGUUGCUCGGAAUCACUGGGCGUAAAGGGUGCGUAGGCGGGUUUUUAAGUCAGGGGUGAAAUCCUGGAGCUCAACUCCAGAACUGCCUUUGAUACUGAAGAUCUUGAGUCCGGGAGAGGUGAGUGGAACUGCGAGUGUAGAGGUGAAAUUCGUAGAUAUUCGCAAGAACACCAGUGGCGAAGGCGGCUCACUGGCCCGAUACUGACGCUGAGACGCGAAAGCGUGGGGAGCGAACAGG